CAGGCUGAAGACCUUUACCCGAUUAGCUGAGAGGUGGUGCAUGGCCGUCGUCAGUUCGUACUGUGAAGCAUCCUGUUAAGUCAGGCAACGAGCGAGACCCACGUCCACAGUUGCCAGCAUACCCUCCGGGGUGAUGGGUACACUGUGGAGACCGCCGCUGCUAAAGCGGAGGAAGGAGUGGGCAACGGUAGGUCAGUAUGCCCCGAAUCUCCCGGGCUACACGCGGGCUACAAUGGUUGGUACAAUGGGCAUCUACCCCGAAAGGGGAAGGAAAUCUCUUAAAGCCAAUCGUAGUUCGGAUUGAGGGCUGCAACUCGCCCUCAUGAAGCUGGAAUCCGUAGUAAUCGCGUUUCAACAGAACGCGGUGAAUACGUCCCUGCUCCUU
rnacentral:rRNA from 1 species